GCACUACUGAAGAGUCCUAUAAUAGAACGAAACGGUUGUCCAGUGC
rnacentral:hammerhead_ribozyme from 1 species